ensembl:snRNA U6 U6 spliceosomal RNA
UCAGAUUAUUUGCUCAGUGUACAGAUUAAUUGGAGCGAUACAGAGAAGAUUAGCAUGGCCUUGUGUAAGGAUGACAUGCAAAUUCGUGAAGCAUUCCAUAUUUUU